AAAAUGUUGGAAGUGUGCCAGUGUCCAAGAGACCAAGAUCAGCUUAUAAGAAAAGGGAACAAAAGAGAAUUAUAGCGAACUUGAUGACAAAAGACAAUACAGAGCCAGAAGCCCUCAUGGACACAAUCACUGUUUCUUCAGAUACUUGUGAUGUAGGAACUGAACCGGAGCCGAUUUUAACACAAUGUGCCAGCACUCAAAUAGAAAUUUUGCAUAGAAAUGCAAAAACUCAG